CGCGGCCUAUCAGCUUGUUGGUGGGGUAAUGGCCUACCAAGGCGACGACGGGUAGCCGGCCUGAGAGGGCGACCGGCCACACUGGGACUGAGACACGGCCCAGACUCCUACGGGAGGCAGCAGUGGGGAAUAUUGCACAAUGGGGGAAACCCUGAUGCAGCGACGCAGCGUGCGGGAUGACGGCCUUCGGGUUGUAAACCGCUUUCAGCAGGGAAGAAGCCGUAAGGUGACGGUACCUGCAGAAGAAGUACCGGCUAACUACGUGCCAGCAGCCGCGGUAAUACGUAGGGUGCAAGCGUUGUCCGGAAUUAUUGGGCGUAAAGAGCUCGUAGGCGGUGUGUCGCGUCUGCCGUGAAAACCUGCGGCUUAACCGUGGGCGUGCGGUGGAUACGGGCACACUUGAGUUCGGUAGGGGAGACUGGAAUUCCUGGUGUAGCGGUGGAAUGCGCAGAUAUCAGGAGGAACACCAGUGGCGAAGGCGGGUCUCUGGGCCGAAACUGACGCUGAGGAGCGAAAGCGUGGGGAGCGAACAGGAUUAGAUACCCUGGUAGUCCACGCCGUAAACGUUGGGCACUAGGUGUGGGGGACAUUCCACGUUCUCCGCGCCGUAGCUAACGCACUAAGUGCCCCGCCUGGGGAGUACGG
rnacentral:rRNA from 1 species